GAUGAGAACAGUUUUGUCCUUCUAGUGUUUGGGAUACAGGAAGAAGCGAUUAAACAAGGAGAUCAGGUCACACUAUUGGAGCCCUUCUGCAAAUUUGUAGAUUUUAAAUGGAAGGAAAAGCACUAUCAAUUCCAAUCUGUGCGAGUCAAUAAUGUGGAACAAGUCCUUGUAAAUGGAAAGGCUGUAUCUUCUGAUUUUGCUAUAUAACCAAUACCAAUGUAGUCAUAAACUCUACUGUGUGUAAGCUACCGUGGGAUUCGAGGAAACAAAUACUUAACUGCUUGUCUACUACAUGCAAUUAGCAGGUGUUACAACUUGAUAUGAGAUUAAACUCUACUGUGUGUAAGCUGCCGUGGGAUUCGAGGAAACAAAUACUUAACUGCUUGUCUACUACAUGCAAUUAGCAGGUGUUACAACUUGAUAUGAGAUUAAACUCUACUGUGUGUAAGCUGCCGUGGGAUUCGAGGAAACAAAUACUUAACUGCUUGUCUACUACAUGCAAUUAGCAGGUGUUACAACUUGAUAUGAGAUUAAACUCUACUGUGUGUAAGCUGCCGUGGGAUUCGAGGAAACAAAUACUUAACUGCUUGUCUACUACAUGCAAUUAGCAGGUGUUACAACUUGAUAUGAGAUUAAACUCUACUGUGUGUAAGCUGCCGUGGGAUUCGAGGAAACAAAUACUUAACUGCUUGUCUACUACAUGCAAUUAGCAGGUGUUACAACUUGAUAUGAGAUUAAACUCUACUGUGUGUAAGCUGCCGUGGGAUUCGAGGAAACAAAUACUUAACUGCUUGUCUACUACAUGC